UGCCCCGUAGCUCAGCGGAACCAGAGUGCCGUACUACGAAUGCGGAGGUCGUGGGUUCGAAUCCCACCGGGGCGG
rnacentral:tRNA from 1 species